ACGGGUGAGUAACACGUGGAUAACCUACCUAUAGACUGGGAUAACUUCGGGAAACCGGAGCUAAUACCGGAUAAUAUAUUGAACCGCGAGGUUCAAUAGUGAAAGACGGUUUUGCUGUAACUUAUGAUGGAUCCGCGCCGCAUUAGCUAGUUGGUAAGGUAACGGCUUACCAAGGCAACGAUGCGUACCCGACCUGAAAGGGUGAUCGGCCACACUGGAACUGAUACACGGUCCAGACUCCUACCGGAGGCAGCACUAGGGAAUCUUCCGCAAUGGGCGAAAGCCUGACGGAGCAACGCCGCGUGAGUGAUGAAGGUCUUCGGAUCAUAAAACUCUGUUAUUAAGGAACAACAAAUGUGUCAGUAACUAUGCACGUCUUGACGGUACCUAAUCAAAAAGCCACGGCUAACUACGUGCCAGCAGCCGCGGUAAUACGUAGGUGGCAAGCGUUAUCCGGAAUUAUUGGGCGUAAAGCGCGCGUAUGCGGUUUUUUAAGUCUGAUGUGAAAGCCCACGGCUCAGCCGUGGAGGGUCAUUGGAAACUGGAAAACUUGAGUGCAGAAGAGGAAAGUGGA
rnacentral:rRNA from 1 species